GAUGAACGCUGGCGGCGUGCCUAAUACAUGCAAGUCGAGCGAACAGACGAGGAGCUUGCUCCUCUGACGUUAGCGGCGGACGGGUGAGUAACACGUGGAUAACCUACCUAUAAGACUGGGAUAACUUCGGGAAACCGGAGCUAAUACCGGAUAAUAUAUUGAACCGCAUGGUUCAAUAGUGAAAGACGGUUUUGCUGUCACUUAUAGAUGGAUCCGCGCCGCAUUAGCUAGUUGGUAAGGUAACGGCUUACCAAGGCAACGAUGCGUAGCCGACCUGAGAGGGUGAUCGGCCACACUGGAACUGAGACACAGUCCAGACUCCUACGAGAGGCAGCAGUAGGGAAUCUUCCGCAAUGGGCGAAAGCCUGACGGAGCAACGCCGCGUGAGUGAUGAAGGUCUUCGGAUCGUAAAACUCUGUUAUUAGGGAAGAACAAAUGUGUAAGUAACUAUGCACGUCUUGACGGUACCUAAUCAGAAAGCCACGGCUAACUACGUG
rnacentral:rRNA from 1 species